CCACUCCGCCAUUUUCCUCCGGAAGUGCGGCACCCAGAGGCCGUCCUGUAGCCGGGCCGGCUUGGGGCUUGGUUCUAUGUCCCUGCGGGUCGGUGCAAGGGCGAAGAGGAACCCGUGGGCCUCAGGGGAUCCCGGGGGGCCGGACCAGUGUUCCCUAGUUGUGGGAGCAGACGCGUGGGCACAUUGCGGGCGGGCAGGGCCUGAAGUGCAGCUAUGUUUCCAGUGUCCUCUGGGUGUUUCCAAGAGCAACAAGAAAUGAAUAAAUCUCUGUUGAAGAGAUACCAUUUGACAUUUUAGAGAUGGCUGCAUGCAAACUCUUGAAACAUUUGACCACCCUCCAGGGUGCCCCGACUCACUUUCCCUGCAGAUGGAGGCAAGGAGGCUCCACAGACAACCCCCCUGCCUGAGGUCACAUAGUGGCCAGCAGGCCAGAGCUGGCGCAGAGAAAAUACAAGCUGAGCUUAGAACAUCUUCUGCCAGAAAGUAAAAAAGUGCCGACAGAGUAAUGGAGACAAAUCAAAGAGACAUAAAGUCAGCUUGGAAUGUCUACUACUGGCCUAAUCUUGGGGAAUUGGAGCAUCAGAAUCAUGAGCUUUCCUUCUCCCUUAUUUAUUGGUUUUAUUUCUCCAUGUAGAACAAAGAAGAGAAUAAGAAAAUAAUCAUCUGGUAACCAUCAUAGUAAUAAUUGUUCAAACACAAGUCAUCCAUGAAAUGCUAAAUCUAGUGGGUUCUGAGGAGUAAC
rnacentral:lncRNA from 1 species